UAGAAAUAUAAAUGUCGCAGCCAACUAGCCUAAUUAAUUUAGUAGUCUGUGCCUGGUAUAUUGUAUAUAGCAUCGCUUGUCAUAUCAGUUUUAAAAUUUGACGGUUGGUGCCUUCGAUUAUUUUCAAAUCAAACGAUUAACGAACGGCAACCAAUUGAUGAAUGUCGUGAGAAAGUGUUCUGAUAAUUUUAACGUACUUUUUAGUAUAUUUAGAUACUUAAACAGUAUAUUAUAAGUGUUUCUAAAGUUUUUAAUAACUUAAAUGUGUGUGACUUGUGAUUGAUAUAAAGAUGGUGGGACUGCAAAAAGGCCCUGGCUUGGGCGCGAAAAAGGGUUCGGUAGCUGCUCCCUCGAAAACCGGGUCCACACAAAACAUGUCUGCUAAUAUUAAAGUAGUGGUGAGGGUUCGUCCCUUAAAUAUGAAAGAAAUGCAGUCGUACAAUCGUAUUGUUGUAGACGUUGUUGAUGACAAAAUGUUAGUGUUUGACCCGAAGGAAGAAACCAGACCUCUCUUUUAUCAGGGGGUCCAGCAGCCUAACAAGAACUUCCUGAAACGUGCUAACAAAGAGUUAAAGUUUGUCUUCGAUGAUGUUUGUGGUCAGGAAGCCUCAAAUCAAGAUGUAUUUGAAACCACAACAAAGGAGAUUAUUUCAUCUCUAAUGGAGGGGUAUAAUUGUUCAGUCUUUGCAUAUGGAGCGACUGGGGCUGGGAAAACGUUUACUAUGAUUGGAACUCAAGAGAAUCCUGGUAUUACUUAUUUAACAAUGGAGCACUUGUUUUACACAAUUUAUUCAUUCAAAAAGGAUAGAGAUUUUGAUAUUGGAGUGUCAUAUAUUGAGGUUUAUAAUGAAAAUGUGUAUGAUCUGCUUAAACCUUCUUCUACUCCACUCCAACUUCGGGAAGACUCAAAAAAUGGCGUGAUGGUAGCUGGUCUCAGCCUUCAUUCCAUUAAAACAGCUAGAGAGCUUCUUAACGUGCUUGAAGAUGGAAAUAAAAACAGAACACAACAUCCUACUGAUGCUAAUGCCGAAAGCUCUAGGAGUCAUGCUGUGUUUCAGGUGUAUGUUAAAAUGCGGUAUAAGAUUAGCAGCCAGCUUCGUAUGGUAAAAUUAUCUAUGAUAGAUCUUGCUGGUAGUGAGCGCGCAUCAGCUUCUGGUUGUAAAGGAGACCGGUUCAAAGAAGGUGCUAAUAUUAAUAAAAGUCUCUUGUCACUUGGUAAUUGUAUCAACAAAUUGGCUGACGGAAGCAAUUAUAUUCCUUACAGAGAUUCAAAAUUGACUCGUCUUCUUAAAGACAGUCUUGGUGGCAACUGUAAGACAGUUAUGAUCGCUAAUGUAUCCCCAUCAAAUAUAACAUAUGAAGACACAUACAACACACUCAAAUACGCUGCAAGAGCAAAUAAAAUCCAACUAUCAAUUAAAAAGAAUAUUGUUGAUGGUGAUAUACGCGCCUCACAAUAUGUCAAGAUAAAUGAGGAGCUUAAGAAGAAAAUUAAAGAGUUGGAAGCCAAAUUAUCUCUGUCCUCUCUGAAGACUGUCAAAGAGUCUGAUGGAGUUAAGGAAAAAUAACAGGGGGCAAACGGGCAGGAGGCUCACAUGAUGCUACGUGAUAUGGACACUCAAUGCCAGAGUGAAUGAGAAUGUAAGAAUUGAUACGCCCUACAACUUAUUUUAACUAAAACUGAGAGAGACAGAGCAGCAAACACUUCCUCAUACCUAUCAAUAAACAUUCGACGUAAAGCAAGUAUUCGACUAAGAGUCCAACGGUCUACGGGUUCAGGAAAAUAACGUACCAAUUCUUGAAAGGCCGGCAACGCACUUGCGAGCCUUGGGCAUCGGCAUCACAUCAGCGAAAAACAAUUUGUCAGGAAGAGACGAACAGUAAUGACUUAAGACCGUGACCCUUGGUAUGAAAAAGUAUGGUUUUUGCUGACAAUGCAAGACGCCCUGCCAUUGGCUGAUCAGCCCCAACUAUUGCAACCCAACGCUAGGCGCGAAGAACUCUUUGGAAUGCCGCGACAACCCGUCACUGUGCCGCCCUCUGGUGAUGGACCACCGGGGACUAAUAACCCAUUUGAAGUUGUGCCUCGUCGCCUAGGGCUCUCCAGCCGAGGCCCGGAACGUGGAGCUUCGCCUCCAGCCCGUCCCGCUUCGGCCCCUCCUGCGCAUACGCACACGCACAUACUGUCCAGAGACGAACCACAGGAUCUAUCGUGUGCCAAAGAUACAGCGUCAAAAAUGGAUAUGGAUACGGACGGGGAAUAUAUAUCGGAUUCUGACUCUAAUGAAGCUAGACAAAUUACAAG